CGAGCAACUGGCGGCAAGCCAGCCAAGCAAGCAAGGUGCUCUCAGAGAUCGAUGGACGCCGGGCCCAGAACUGCACCAUCCUGCUCAGCAAGCUGAAGAUGAGCUAUAUGAAGAUAUCAAAGGCCAUUCUCCCGAUGGACAGCAACAAGAAGCUGAUACUCGACAUGGUCUAGCAGCUGCUAAAGUUCCCGCUCUCGGCGGAGGAGCGUGACUGUUGGAUGAGCAUAGCGAGGAUAUUGAGUCACUUGCCCGCACCGAUCGCUUCCUUUACGAAAUAUCAAAGAUUCCCCACUACGAGCAAAGGCUGAAGAGUUCACUACUGGAACUGCUUUAUGCCGACAUCAGAACUUCAGGGAGCAAUCAGAAUGGAAGUCAGCUGCAACAACAGCACCAACAGCAACACCCUCAAGCUGAACACACGCACGACGUUGGCCUUCCUGGAGAACGGCAUUACCACGGCAUCUCCAACGGGCAUUACCACGGUCACCCUAUCACCGGCAGCCAUCGAGCGGGACGCGGAGGGCAGGCCUUUGCGUCGAGGCUGUGCCCGUCGAGCAGAAGAUCCAGCAGGAGCUGCAGGACCUCAAGUUGCGCGAGACGGAGCUGAAGCGCCUGCACAAGAAUAACAGGAACAACAUACUGAAGGCUUCGCUAGACAAGCUCCAGCUCAGAACAGACGACGAGGCCAAUGCGGACGACGAUGACGAUUAGGACU